UUAAAGUUUUAUUCCUUUCUCCUUCACUAGUCUGUUGUUUAACAAACCCCAAGAUCAUUGCACAGUGUCAGAGGUGCUGAAUGAGAAGGAGGCUGCAGUCAGUUUGAAGUUAACUCCUGUGUUUGCAACUGAAAGCAGAGGCAAGGGGAGCAUGUGGAGCAGCAAACAGAGGCACACUGGAGCAGCAAUCAGAGAAUAACAAAAGCUUUUAAGAGUUUAAUUCUUUGUCAAGAGGGGAGCUGAAAACAUUUUGGAUACAAUAGGCUGCUGGUGUAAAAAAAAGAGCAGGUGGGGGCUCAAGGAAUUUUCAAGUGCUAAAUUAGCUGCAAGCGGACUCCCCAGUCAUUUUCAGAACAAUAGAAAUUUUCUACCUAUCCAACCUGGCAUCUAUAGUGAGCCUCUCGCCAUGGUUAGCAACCAAAGACAUGAGUGAAUGACAAUGACCACUUAAAUUACAAACUCUGUUACAAUUGUACUUGAAUUAGUAUUUCUAACAACUUUUUUCUGCCAUUGGAGGGAUUUAUAGAUUAAUUCUUCCUACUUGUAUAAAGACAAAUAUUUUUAAAAAUAAUAAAGCUGUGCAAAAAUUACUCUCAUCACAAGACACUCCAAAUCCAGGUGUCCUGUUUGUUAAGGGAUUACUAUUAACUGCUAUUAGUAGUCGGGUAACAACACAGUCAGGGCUGCCGGAGUUUAGCAGCUCCAUCUUGUGGAAAAGCACAGAAAAUAGCAGCACUAGAGGUGACCACGGUGAACCCUGAACACAGCAAAGAUGUGGUUUGAGCAAACUUGAAACAAAGGGUGAUGAAAUGAGCAAGAUGAACUUCAAGAAUGAGGUGAGAUUAAUGGAAGUAGGUUAUAAUGCUGGAGCGUCCUGGAAUGGCUUGAACUCUUUGGCUCUACAGUGGU